AGAGAUGUGUGAUGACGCAUAUCAAUAAGCGGAGGAAAAGAAACUAACAAGGAUUCUCUUAGUAACGGCGAGUGAAGCGGGAAGAGCUCAAAUUUGAAAUCUUCAAGGUUCUACCUUGACGAAUUGUAGUUUAAAGAAGUGUUUUCUGUUAGUGGAGUGGCAAAAGUUCUUUGGAAUAGGACAUCAUAGAGGGUGAGAAUCCCGUAUUUGGUCAUUCCUCCUAGCGUUGUGAUACACUUUCAACGAGUCGGAUUGUUUGGGAAUGCAGUCCAAAAUGGGUGGUAAAUUUCAUCUAAAGCUAAAUAUUGGCGAGAGACCGAUAGCGAACAAGUACCGUGAGGGAAAGAUGAAAAGAACUUCGAAAAGAGAGUUAAACAGUACGUGAAAUUGUCAAAAGGGAAGCGUUUGACACCAGUGUUGUUUUUCCGAAAAUCAAUUAAGAAUGUUUUAUUUUUGAGGAGUUAUGACUUCAUCGGCUUGCUCCUUUCUUUAUGAAACUUUCUUAAUGCACUUUUCGGUUAACAAGUCAACAUCAAUUUCUUUUGUUGUAAAAGGGUAUGAGGAAGGUGGCUUUCUUUUCGGAGAAAGUGUUUAUAGCCUUGUACUUCUGCAAUCGGAGAGAUUGAGGUCUGCAGCGUAGAUCCUUCGGGGUUAGAUACACUUGUGCUAAGUUAUAGCUUUUCAUAGACAACUUGUUGAUUAUGUUAAGUCUUGUAGCUUACUCGCUUGUGCUAUUUUACCUACGCUUAGGAUGUUGACGAUCAGCUGAGCGCG
rnacentral:rRNA from 1 species